GAUGAACGCUGGCGGCGUGCCUAAUACAUGCAAGUCGAGCGAACAGAUGAGGAGCUUGCUCCUCUGACGUUAGCGGCGGACGGGUGAGUAACACGUGGAUAACCUACCUAUAAGACUGGGAUAACUUCGGGAAACCGGAGCUAAUACCGGAUAAUAUAUUGAACCGCAUGGUUCAAUAGUGAAAGACGGUUUUGCUGUCACUUAUAGAUGGAUCCGCGCCGCAUUAGCUAGUUGGUAAGGUAACGGCUUACCAAGGCAACGAUGCGUAGCCGACCUGAGAGGGUGAUCGGCCACACUGGAACUGAGACACGGUCCAGACUCCUACGGGAGGCAGCAGUAGGGAAUCUUGCGCAAUGGGCGAAAGCCUGACGGAGCAACGCCGCGUGAGUGAUGAAGGUCUUCGGAUCGUAAAACUCUGUUAUUAGGGAAGAACAAAUGUGUAAGUAACUAUGCACGUCUUGACGGUACCUAAUCAGAAAGCCACGGCUAACUACGU
rnacentral:rRNA from 1 species